rnacentral:lncRNA from 1 species
UGACGCUGGGAGGGGCACCAGGAAGCUCAGCGGAAGUCCUGGUUUGCCAUUUCUGACGUCAGCAUCUUCUGAUGCCCUUUCUUGGGCUGGGAGCUGGGAAGGGCAGAGGUAAUGUGGUCAGUUCUGUGAACUCCCACGGAAGACAGUGCGGAGCUCAGGGGUGCCUUGGUAAACACGCGGCAGCUCUUUCCUCUUGGCUCAGCCCCAACUUGCACAUCCCUGGAGCAUCCACCCCUGCUUUGUGUCCACAUCACUAUUCGGUUCUUCCUUUUAAGGCAUGACAUUUACUUACGUAUCUGCCCUCCUACCAGGAAGCCUUAGUUUCAGUUCUGACAAUCAGCACAGAGCUCACUACCUGCCAGAUGCCCCGUGAGCAUGCUUGGAGCAUCUUUGGAAUGCUUAGGUUCCCAACAGCCUCCCAGAGGGGUGGGGAGCACAGAGCAGCUGCUGACUUGAGUUUCAUGCAGUCCACCGGGUGCAAAGACACCCUGAAUACUGUGGCAGGAGGGCACAACAUUGGAGAACACUCAGCUCUUCCCCAGGGCACUACUGCCCACAGGGUGUUUACUUUGCACAUCUGCUUGGGUGCCCACCCCAACUUAUGCCUUCUCAAUCGCAAGUCCUGGUUUGAAUCCUAGUGUAGAGCCUGGCCCAUCCCUGGUGUUGGUAAAUGCCUGUGUGUGUGCCUGCUCCAUGUCCGGGUCUGUGUGCCAUUGCUGUCCAUCAUUUGCUGUACAACAGCUGCUUGGGCAAUGUACUGCUUGGCCCCUUCCCUACACAUCCUUGGGACAGGGGCCCCAGGGAUGGAUUAUCCUCCUCAUUUACUCUAAACAUCUUUUCUGGAAACUGAUCCUGGAUCCCUUGGCUCUGAAGCAUGGAAAGCCAAACGUGUAACCUGCUUUGAUGGGUGGAGGAAAGGAAAUAUGCAUUCUCUUUUAGAGAGCUUGAGAAAUUCUCAGAAAAAAAAAAGUUAGCUGGCCUCCCAUAUCGACCCAAUGGUACCUGGAUGACCAUAUCCUCCUGUCCAUUUUCUCCCUCACUUUCUUUCAACAAGCCACUACCUGGAUGGGCACCACUCCAAGUCAAGUGUGAGAAAAAAUACCUCUUUCCUUCCACCAGGAGCUCCUUUCUUUCAGAGAAGCUGCUGGCUCUGCAGGGAACGAUCUUGCAGAUCGUUGGCGUCCUAGGCCCAGCUAAAGCUGCAGGAACGGACGGAUUCUGUAGAGGAAGAGGAAAUCUCUCAAGUCAGUCCCAGGGCUCGUGAUUUCUUGCUUGCUAUGGUUUGUAUGUGGUUUUCCCCCAAGGGUCCAUGUGCUGGAGGCUUGGUCCCGAGGGUGGCAGUAUGGGAGGUGGUAAAACCUUUAAGAGGUGGGACCUAGUGCGAGGUUCUUAGGUCAUGGGAGUUCUGAGCCUGGACCCACUCAACUCUCUCUGGCUUCCUGUAUCAAGAUAUAAUUUCUUGCUCCAGUACACACUCUUGUCAUUGCCAUCCACUGUGACGUGGUGCCGCCUAGAGGAGUCACAAGGCUGAGGGUGUGCCAUGCCUUUGGACCUCCAAAACUGUGAGCUAAAUAAAC